AAUAAUGGACUAAUUUAUUUCUCUGUCUUCUGAAAUGUGGGAGAAGAUGGGAUAGCUGGGGUGGGAUACUUAUCUCAUCAGGCUGCUAAGAUGUCUUUACAUUGUGGCUAGACAGUGGCAGGGGAAGGGGAGGUGUGAUCAGACCUCCAAAGGAACUUGAGGAAAGAUCAGAUUGUACCCAAAAGCUAUAUGAGAGUUAGAAAGCAGGGUGGGUGGGAUACACAAACACAGCUCGAAUUCAGACAUGAAAUCAACCACACCUAUGCCUCAAGACAACAGCAAUGCUACAUAUCCCUUCUGCUGUUCUUUUGGAAAGACAGACUGGACAUUUGAGUGAUGGAGUGAGUUAUCCAAACUGUAGCCAAGUCACAAAAACUGUUGACAGACUUCCUCCCCACCAUCAUACUGAUUGAGAAAGAAGAGCUUGAAGAAACCUCCAAAUCCAGUGCCAGCAAUACUGAGAAACUUGGUUAGUUGGACAAAGUGUUGGAGAGAGCAAGAGAGAGCACUGCAGAAAGUUUUCAGCCUCUAACUGCAGAAAGGAAACUAGCGGCACCACUCAGCAUCAUGAACUAGUCAUUGCAUAUAUGACUAAGAACAUUGACUAACAACAUUGUGGAUCAAAAAGAAAGCAAUAGAAGGAAGAAUGUGUCUGAAGGCAGCAUCUGCUCCCUUUACCACCAGAGAAGCAAUAAAGGACAACCUCGGGUGCGAAUCCUUUCUUCAGGUUACAGUGAGUCAUUUGAGAACUGCUGCGAUCAAGCUAAGCACUUCCUGAAUCACAUGUGGAGCAGAGAUGGAGUUGGAGAGAUGGCUCAGAAUCAAAAAAGGCAACAUGCAGCGGAGCUGGUCGGACAUCGGACUCCAGGGGCUUCUGCUUCUCCCACAGAGAGAUUGCCCAGAGAAGGACAUGCAUUUCCUUCUCCGACUACAGAGCCAACUCCUUGAUUGUCUGUCUCUCAACUUUCAUCAUAUGAGGAGAAGACACAUUCAGAUGUGAAAGUACAGCUCAGAAAGAUGGAAGUGACAUACUUGUCAACCUUUAGGGGCAGAUGCUACAGCUCUGGGGGCAUGAAAGGAAGCAUGGUUGCAAACAGAAGAAAAAUGGCUUCCAGUAGACCACAUCAAUGAGUGAAGCAAGCAAUGUCUGAAAGCAGUGGCUACAGAAAUAUGGACUCUGAGGCUGGGGACAUCAAGGGUGGUUGAGGUUCUUCAAGUCUUUUGAUUUUGAAAAUGUUUGGAACUGAGAAUAACUGUGAAGAAUUGGGGGGAUUAAGCUAAAAAAAUAUCCACAUUCUGUUGAGUUGACCUGAAAGGUCAGUUAACAUAGUGGCUCAAGGUGAAGGACAUUUCAGAGCAGCAUCUUGAAAUGAAAGGUGUGUGUCUGAAUGGCAGAAAUGAGUCCAAUCACCACAAGACAGCAACGAAUGAGUCAUAUCCAUCUUCCCACAUUGACAUUCCUCUUUUGUGUCCUGUACUACCGAAGGAAGCGCAAACAGAUAUACCAUAGUAUGCAGUAUGCAUUUACUAGAUUAUUUUUUGAUGUUCAAAUUGCUGUCACUUCAUGUUCCACCUGUCAAACAGGUUGGAUUGGAGAUGGUUUGGGGUUUUAUUUUCUUCAUUUCUUCCAAAACCAUGUGGUUCUAUAGUAGGUGUGACUGUGUACAAACGUUAGCUAGACCUUCAGAAAGGCCUAAAUAGCCAUACUGGACUUUUUAAUUUCUGCAAGCAUUAUUUGCAAAAGCAACCAUAUGGUAUCAUAGGUCUUUUUAGAGCUGGCUGAACCAAUGGCUGGAUAUUGACUUCUAACCAGCAGGAGCUUUCUCAGUAGCACUUCUGUUCAUCUAUUAUCAGAUUUCUCUGAGAGAUGUAGUUGUGCUACACUCCUGAGCGAGAACCACGUGGGAAGACAUGUGCAUGAUGCAUCCGUACAACCAAAAAAAACCAAAACAAAACAUUGCUCCUGAUUGUUUGUAUUGCAUUUCUCCAUCCAGAUUCUAGUUUUUACUACUGGGUUUUUACAGUUUAUUGUGUAUUGUACAGAGCGUAGGGUUACUAAUGCAUUAUGAAUUUCCUUGCUGCCAAGACUGGGGGGCUCAAGGAUUCUUGUAUGCGCCAAUGACUUUGAUUGUAUGAGCCCACUUAUUCCUCAUGUUAUCACAUUUGUGGUGACUCAUAAGAGGCUGUGUCAGCCACUGCUGUAUUUUUUUCUUCGAAAAAUGGCAUUCUUCAGUUACAAAACCAAUUGUAGCAAAGUGUGUUCAGAGCAAAGAUAUUUUUUCUUUUGAAGAUUUCUACAAUAAAAUAUAUGCGUAAA